AUGGACGUGGGAGUCCCUACUCAGCUCCUGGGGCUCCUGCUGCUCUGACUCUGAGGUGCCAGAUGUGACAUCCAGAUGACCCAGUCUCCAUCCUCCCUGUCUGCAUCUGUAGGAGACAGAGUCACCAUCACUUGCCGGGCAAGUCAGGGCAUUAACAAGGAGUUAGCCUGGUAUCAGCAGAAACCAGGGAAAGCCCCUAUGCUCCUGCUCUAUUCUGGAUCCAGUUUGCAUACAGGGGUCCCAUCUCAGUUCAGCGGCAGUGGAUCUGGGACAGAUUUCACUCUCACCAUCAGCAGCCUGCAGCCUGAAGAUGUUGCAACUUAUUACUGUCGACAGGAUUAUACUACUCCGUCCACAGUGUUACAAGCCAUAAAAAAAAAAAAACCCCAGAGAAGCAGAUGUGUGA